AAGGUGGUUAUAGCACGAGGGAUCCACCUCUUCCCAUUCCGAACAGAGAAGUUAAGCCUCGUCACGCCGAUGGUACUGCUAUAUUGUGGGAGAGUAGGUAGCCGCCGUUU
rnacentral:rRNA from 1 species